CCUACGGGUGGCAGCAGUGAGGAAUAUUGGUCAAUGGGCGCGAGCCUGAACCAGCCAAGUCGCGUGAGGGAUGAAGGUUCUAUGGAUCGUAAACCUCUUUUAUAAGGGAAUAAAGUGUGGGACGUGUCCUAUUUUGUAUGUAUCUUAUGAAUAAGGAUCGGCUAACUCCGUGCCAGCAGCCGCGGUAAUACGGAGGAUCCGAGCGUUAUCCGGAUUUAUUGGGUUUAAAGGGUGCGUAGGCGGCCUUUAAGUUAGAGGUGAAAGUCCGUGGCGUAACCUUAGAAUUGCCUUUGAAACUGGGGGGCUAGAGUGUGUUUGAGGCAGGCGGAAUGCGUGGUGUAGCGGUGAAAUGCUUAGAGAUCACGCAGAACCCCGAUUGCGAAGGCAGCCUGCCAAGCCAUGACUGACGCUGAUGCACGAAAGCGUGGGGAUCAAACAGGAUUAGAUACCCCUGUAGUC
rnacentral:rRNA from 1 species